rnacentral:rRNA from 1 species
GACGAACGCUGGCGGCGUGCUUAACACAUGCAAGUCGAACGGAAAGGCCCUGCUUUUGUGGGGUGCUCGAGUGGCGAACGGGUGAGUAACACGUGAGUAACCUGCCCUUGACUUUGGUAUAACUUCAGGAAACUGGGGCUAAUACCGGAUAGGAGCUCCUGCUGCAUGGUGGGGGUUGGAAAGUUUCGGCGGUUGGGGAUGGACUCGCGGCUUAUCAGCUUGUUGGUGGGGUAGUGGCUUACCAAGGCUUUGACGGGUAGCCGGCCUGAGAGGGUGACCGGCCACAUUGGGACUGAGAUACGGCACAGACUCCUACGGGAGGGAGCAGUGGGGAAUAUUGCACAAGGGGCGGAAGCGAGAUGCAGAAACGCCGCGUGCGGGAAGACGGCCUUCGGGUUGUAAACCGCUUUCGCCUGUGACGAAGCGUGAGUGACGGUAAUGGGUAAAGAAGCACCGGCUAACUACGU